CUUGCUCUCAAAGUUAUCGGCUUUGAUCAAGUGUAGUAUCUGUUCUUGUCAGCUUAAAAACUGACAUUAUCCGCAAGGACUUAAUAUUAGAAAAAUGAGGAUAAAAGAAGUGGAUGUGCUUGCAUAAUUGCUUUUUUUAAUAGAUCCUCGACAUUGAAAUUCAAUGUCUUUUUAUUAUAAUUUUU
rnacentral:snRNA from 1 species